AGUAUGAAUGCUUGAUUAUAUGGUAAGAUUAUGUGCAGUUUUAAAAGAAACCACCUAAACUUUCUUCCAAAGUAGCUGUACCAUUUUGCAUUCCCAGAGCAAU
rnacentral:pre_miRNA from 1 species